rnacentral:pre_miRNA from 1 species
UGGAUAGAUUAUUGUAUUCGACUGUAUUCAUGACAUAAAAUAGGGGAUUACACUGUUUUUAAAACGGAAAGUGAAUCAAUUAACAUAAUAGACUCCU